CACCGCGCCUCCGCAGGUGAAACCAGAGCUACAAGCUAGCGGCCUGGAGCUGAGCGGCUACAGCUAUGUGAACAGCGGCACGAAGGAGCGUGCGACAACCCUGCUCAUCGCUGGCAUAGUCGGACUGGGGGAAGUCAACUCGAACAUGGGCAAGGAUUUCAGUCUUUAGUGGGGCGAGUGCACGCAUGGAGGAA